GGUAAAAUGGCUGAGUUUAGGCAAUAAAUUGUAAAUUUAUCAACGAAAUUAUAUUUCUUUUACCA
rnacentral:tRNA from 1 species